rnacentral:rRNA from 1 species
CUUUAGACGGUAGGGUAUUGGCCUACCGUGGCUAUGACGGGUAACGGGGAAUUAGGGUUCGAUUCCGGAGAGGGAGCCUGAGAAACGGCUACCACAUCUAAGGAAGGCAGCAGGCGCGCAAAUUACCCAAUCCUAAUACAGGGAGGUAGUGACAAGAAAUAACAAUACAGAACCUUACGGUUUUGUAAUUGGAAUGAGUUAAGUAUAAACCCCUUAACAAGUAUCAAUUGGAGGGCAAGUCUGGUGCCAGCAGCCGCGGUAAUUCCAGCUCCAAUAGCGUAUAUUAAGGUUGUUGCAGUUAAAAAGCUCGUAGUUAAUCUUCUGUUAAUUUUUAUAUAUAAUAUCACGAUAUUUAUAUAAUAUUAACAUAAUUCAUAUUACUUUUUAGUAUAUGAAACUUUACUUUGAGAAAAUUAGAGUGCUUAAAGCAGGCUAUUGCCUUGAAUACUCCAGCAUGGAAUAAUAUUAAGGAUUUUUAUUCUUCUUAUUGGUUCUAGAAUAAAAAUGAUGAUUAAUAGGGACAGUUGGGGGCAUUUGUAUUUAACAGUCAGAGGUGAAAUUCUUAGAUUUGUUAAAGACAAACUACUGCGAAAGCAUUUGCCAAGGAUGUUUUCAUUAAUCAAGAACGAAAGUUAGGGGAUCGAAGACGAUCAGAUACCGUCGUAG